rnacentral:misc_RNA from 1 species
GAUGAAGAACGCAGCGAAAUGCGAUAAGUAAUGUGAAUUGCAGAAUUCAGUGAAUCAUCGAAUCUUUGAACGCACAUUGCGCUCCUUGGUAUUCCGGGAGCACGCCUGUUUGAGAAUCAUUAAAAUCAAUCACCCCAGUUGGUGGACCUGAGCUUUUCCUCCCACGGCGGUGGAAUAGCUUGAAAUUGAAUGUCGGGAAAUACCUCGGACUGUCCCGUUCCAGGAUUUCAAGCGCAUGAAAGAGUGUUUACACUUUGUCUGGUUCGCUUGAGCCGUUCCUGUGGGAUUUUGGGCUGAGGACCAUUUCAACGCACAGCCAGACGAGGCAACUCGAUUGGUUAUCAAUAAGACGGUUGGGAGCAAUCUGCUCCUGGUCUCUUGAACUCUUGGUCUCAAAUCAGGUGGGAAAACCCGCUGAACUUAAGCAUAUCAAUAAGCGGAGGA